UACAGGGGGUGCAAACGUUGCUCGGAAUCAUUGGGCGUAAAGCGCACGUAGGCGGUCUGUUAUGUCGGAUGUGAAAGCCCUUGGCUCAACUGAGGAAGUGCAUCCGAAACUGGCAGGCUAGAGUACUAAAGAGGAUCGCGGAAUUCCCGGUGUAGAGGUGAAAUUCGUAGAUAUCGGGAGGAACACCGGUGGCGAAGGCGGCGAUCUGGGUAGAUACUGACGCUGAGGAGCGAAAGCGUGGGGAGCGAACAGG
rnacentral:rRNA from 1 species